rnacentral:rRNA from 1 species
UACGAAGGGGGCUAGCGUUGCUCGGAAUCACUGGGCGUAAAGCGCACGUAGGCGGAUUCCUAAGUCGGGGGUGAAAUCCUGGAGCUCAACUCCAGAACUGCCUUCGAUACUGAGAGUCUCGAGUCCGGGAGAGGUGAGUGGAACUGCGAGUGUAGAGGUGAAAUUCGUAGAUAUUCGCAAGAACACCAGUGGCGAAGGCGGCUCACUGGCCCGGUACUGACGCUGAGGUGCGAAAGCGUGGGGAGCAAACAGG